UUAAGAAAGAAUAAAUGAAGCCCAAUAAUCCCAACUAAGGUAGAAUUACAUACAGUGGACCUCUUCACUUCUCCAUCCACCGCGCCGGAAAAAGUUGUCGGUCGCCGUCGUAGCUCCAUGCUCUCUUCAUCAGUUUCUUCUCCCCUUCCACUAAGAGAGAACUCAAAGAUUUAAAAUUCCCAUCUCUUCUUACAAAAACAGGCCGAAUUCUACUCACAUAAUUCAACCUCCACCACCCCACCACGAGCAACUUUGUUCUUUCUGCCACCGCUAACUCUCAGAUCAUAAGAAUGACAGCUUUUGGUGCUGUUCUUUCUCUUAGGAAUACAAUUAACAAUAUUCUCUGUUGUUCUCGUUUUAGCCUUGUUGGCCGUUCUAAACAAAUUAUAGAAGGCGUGUGCAGUGAGUUGGAGCCUUGGGAAGAAAUUCUGGAAAGAUUGGACGAGACAAGUCCAAGCAGGAGCAGGAAGAAGGUGAAUGCUUUGGAUGGAAGAAUCAAAGAUGCAAUGUGGAAAUUUGAAGACUCAUUGGAAUCCCUUCUCGUUCAACAGAUUCCUUUACAAUUUGAAAGUAUUCCAGAUAUUGUCUCCAUUAGUCUGCAGAGUCUGCAAAAUGAUGUUGAUUUCUUGAUCCAUGCACUCAAUGAUAUGAAGGAGGAGUACAUUUAUGAAGUAGUGAAUAUGCCUCAAGACGAACCUAUUUCCUCAUUAAUUGGUUUUCAUGGAACAUACUCGAAGAUGAUUGGAUUAUCUGACCAGUUCCAACAACUCAAAGCCGAUCUUAUGAGAGCAUCUUGCGGCUGGAAUUAUAUGGGUUGGGGAGACCACAGUUGCUAUACACUUUAUGGAACGGCAGGCAUUGGGAAGACCACUCUUGCUAUGCAAAUUUACGAAGAUCCAGAAAUUCAGAACAAAUAUGAGUGCCACACGUGGGUCACUGUAGGCAGAGUACCUCAACCGAUCAGUCAAAUUUCACAAGGCAUUCUUGCUCAACUUUGUGGAAUUACACAAGGAGAUGAAGAAAUAGACGACUGCUUGAAAGAAAAAUUGGAUGGCAAGAAUUGCCUAAUUGUGUUGGACGAUGUUUGGGAGACACGUGAAUUGAAUUACUUGGAAGAUUCCUUACGAGACAUCCAAAAUGGAUGUAUUCGUGUCUUGCUUACUGGUCGACAUCGAAAAUUGAUAAAUGCUUAUAUGCAUAAUGAAUAUUCGUACGAGGUGCGGUUUUUGAAAGAAGAAGAAAGUAUGGAUCUACUAUGUGAGAAGGUGUUUGGUGAUGACGUUUGUCCUCCUCAACUUCACAAAUCUGCCACCAAAAUUGCCAAGCUUUGUGAAGGUCUCCCUCUCUUGAUAGUUACUGUUGCUGACAUCAUAUCAAAAUCCGAGCGGAAUAGAAACCCAACCUACUGGAAGGAUGUAGCAGAAAAGAAAAAUUCAGUCUUCACGGAUGCAUAUAAUAAAAUAUCAAAGGUACAAUUCCCAAGUUACGACUAUUUACCUCAACGUCUUAAAAUUCCUUUUCUGUUUAUGGGAGUUUUCCCUCAAGAUUACAAUAUCCCACCUUCGAAGAUUAUCAUUAUGCUCACCAUUGAGGGGUUGUGGUAUGAUCGGGAAUGUUUCAGAGAACUGGCUUUCUACUACAGUCUUGUUUUACGCAACUUGAAGACUGUCUUUAAAUCUUCGCAUGAGAUUUCUGUUAGCGAUUUUAAAACAUGUUGGCUUCAUUCUUCAUGGAGGCAUGUGUGUAGAGGAGAAGCUAGUAAGAACAAGUUUUAUCACGUCUUAAAUAAGUUGGAUGAUGCUGAAGAAGGUCUAAAAGUUCAGCGUGGCUUGUGUCUUGAAAAUAACAUUUUAUUUGGUAUCAAAGAGUUUCGCGAUUCAGUGAGAUUGAACUGUGCAUCCUCUGCACGUUCUCUCUUUUCCUAUGGUCCUUACAAUCAAUAUCCAAUCCCUAUAGAUGUCGGUUUCAAGUUGCUAAGGGAAAUAGAUGCUCUUACACAACGUUUCUAUACUUUCCCAAUAGAAAUUCUGCCACUAGUUCAACUAAAGUACCUUGCUUUAACUUGCAACGGGGAACUCCCUGCAACUAUAUCCAAACUUUUCAAUCUUCAAGUCUUGAUUAUCCAUCCACAUCAAAAUAUAAAACGUUGUGGAGCUCCAUCACAUGUACCGAUACAAAUAUGGGACAUGCAAGAGUUAGAACAUAUUGAGAUAUCGGGAAAGAGCCUUGUAUCUCCAUCUCAUGUUGCUUCUUUGAGAAAGCUGUCAACAAUUGUGGGUGUGAAUGCUAGCAUUAGUACUCUCUUGGAACUCUCGAGAAGAAUUCCUAACAUAAAGAAAUUAGGAAUACAGAUUGAGCUUACACCUUACGAUGACCAUAACGAUCUUUUGAGUUGCUUUGGUUGCAUUUCAACACUUGGAAGUUUGGAGACACUCAAAUUUAGUAUCAUUAAUCCUGUGGUCAACCAUGGUCGUAUUUUCCAGGUGACUCCCGGGUCACUAAGGUUGCCACGUAAUUUGAAAAAGUUGCAUUUGAGUGGCAUGAGUUUGCCCUGGGAAUACAUGGAUGUCAUUGGCUCAUUGCCGAGUCUUAAAGUGCUCAAAUUGAGAUCAUAUGCCUUUCAGGGUUCGCAUUGGAAAACAAAAAGGCAUAGUUUUUCGAGUCUCGAGUUUCUUCUAAUUGAAGAGAGUGAUUUGGUGCAAUGGAAACCAGGAUACCUAAGCUUCCUUAAGCUUAAAUAUCUAAGCUUGAAACAUUGCUACAAACUAAAAGAGAUCCACAGGCCCGCUUCCGUGUACGCAGAAUUUGGACGUAUGAUCAUAGAGAUUGAAUUGGAGGACUGCAAUCCUUUAGCUUUGACUUGGGCCAGCCAAUUACAACCAACUAAUGAUGUUAAGCUUCGUGUUAUUGCCUCUUCUUCGUUUUAUGAGAAACCAACAACUUUCAAGAGUGAAAGGGAUGGAGCGGACUAUAUAUCUGGGCUGGAAAGAUCCAUUUUGGAAGUUGAGGAGGAGAAUGAUGACGAAGAUAUGUCUGAAAAUGAGGAUACAGACAAAGAGGAUAAUAUUUAAGAAAUUGCCAAUUGGGGUGAGGAUGGUGAAGGUAUUGCUCAUGUGAAUGCUAUGGAGCUAUUAGGAGAGUAGUAACUUUGCUCAAUGAUCAUCUUAUAAAUUCUACCUGAAAAACGGCAGAUAUAGGCGAGGGUGAUGAUAUGGAUAGCGAGGAAGAGGAUUGUGAUGAAGAAGUUGACAAUCAAGUAGGAUGAUGAAGGUUAUUGGAUUCGAUAGAAAAUGUUCGAUCUUAUUUCUAAUCUUAACGACGAAUCACAAAUUCACUGGUA